rnacentral:lncRNA from 10 species
CUCACUUAGAGCCAUUAUCUAUAUAGUUUGACAGUUGAAAUAACUAUAAAGAUGGGCCAUUUUGUGGUUGGUAUAAGCAACAUCUUGGCGGUAGUCAGAUAUUAAGCUUAUGUUCCCCAGAGAGAAUUCCUCUGUAUUUCAAUAGCACCUCGUAGCUAUCUUCAUUACUGACAACAUUAGUUAUAUUGCAGUGCACUUUUUACGUCCACUUCCACAAACUGAACACAGGGACAGCCUAUCUCAUUCCCAUAUUCACAGAUGGGAACAGGACAAAAUAUUUUAUUAGAGUUAUUAGGGGGAAAAAAUCCCAUUAAGAGCACAUAUGCUGCCUUCAUAAGGGUUUAGAUGCAACACAGAACAAAUGAGCUAUAACAACUAUUUCCAUUUCAAAAAACAAUUAGAAACAGGUUAUUAAAAACAAUCACCUCUACUCUGUGAAAGCUAAGGAAAUAGAUUCUCCUCACUUCUGAAUCAUUGAACAUUCCAAUAUUGAUGUAGAAAGCAUAGAGCCUUAUUUCAUUUGAUAGUAAAGAAUAAAGCAAGCAAUAUUGCCACAAUCAGAAUCUUUUAUGUGUUUUUCUACACAAUCAUCGUUUAUAACCCCUCACAUCCUGAAUUUUCCCUAGGAUGUGUAGACUAAAAUAAAAUCACCAAUUCAUUCAUCAUAAUAGUUGAAGAUGACAGGGUGAAACAGUGAUUUGCUAAUGCUUCUUUAAGGCUUAUCCUCUUGGGCAGUACAUGUUUUUUGGGAUUAUGAAAUGAUCAACUUUAAUCAGUGCCUGCCCAUUAGUCCUUGCCCUAAUAUUACUGAUGAUUAAUACCAAAAAUAUGUUUUAAUAUCUGCUGACUUCCUAGGAUUUGGGAGUAUUUGAUAAGAUAUAAGCCAAUGUGAAUCCCAGUCAAAAGUAGGCUUAUCUAAGUAAGAUUAUGUUUGGCUUUUCAACUACACUUUUCAGAAUUUUAAUGGUAGAAAAACAUUUAAGAAAGAAAACCGUUAACGUAAUCACGGCUUGCAGAGCUUCUUGUUUUUCCAUGCUGUGAUGGGACAUUAGCUAAGCACACAGAACAUAAUUUCCUAUGGUGUGUCAGGCCUUUCUCUUAGGUCUGAUGAGGUCUAAGGAUAAUUAUGUGCAACAACCUACUGUGGCAGAGAAACUGAAUUAUCAGUUACAUCUGAGAGUCUUCUCACAAAAGAAUGUCAGUCUCUCACUGCUUUAUAUUAGCUAAUCUCUAGACGGACUUUCCUGGUUGAAGCUUACUUUUUUCAUCAGUCUCUUAUCAAGAAUGCUCUGGUUAAGAACUAAUUCAUAUUACGGACAUCAUUAAUAUAUUGUAAGUAUCCAUAAAUAUAAAUUUUAAUAUUAAAUGUUAAUAGGGAUAUUACAUGAUAUUGGCAUACUAUAUAAUGUGCUUAUAUAUAUUUAUUUCAAAUGUUAACUGAAUCAGAUCUUUAAAUAUUUUCGUUUGUUUUUAUGCACCCUGAAACAAAA